rnacentral:rRNA from 1 species
UACGGAGGGAGCUAGCGUUGUUCGGAUUUACUGGGCGUAAAGCGCACGUAGGCGGAUUGUUAAGUCGGGGGGUGAAAUCCUGGAGCUCAACUUCAGAAUUGCCUUCGAUACUGGCUUUCUAGAGGCUGGAAGAGGUUAGUGGAAUUCCCAGUGUAGAGGUGAAAUUCGUAGAUAUUGGGAAGAACACCAGUGGCGAAGGCGGCUAACUGGUCCAGAUCUGACGCUGAGGUGCGAAAGCGUGGGGAGCGAACAGG